GAUCCCUUAGCUCAGCGGUAGAGCAUCUGAUUCCAGUGGAUCUUGGGAACCCAGUAUCCAGAAGGUCAUCCGUUCAAUCCGGGUAGGGGUCA
rnacentral:tRNA from 1 species